rnacentral:rRNA from 1 species
AAUCAACGCUGGCGGCGUGCCUAACACAUGCAAGUCGAACGCGAAAGUUCCGCAAGGGAUGAGUAGAGUGGCAAACGGGUGAGUAACACGUGGGUGACCUGCCUUCGAGUGGGGGAUAACGUCCCGAAAGGGACGCUAAUACCGCAUAACAUCCUGCCUUUGAAGAGGCGGUGAGCAAAGCCGGGGAUCGCAAGACCUGGCGCUUGAAGAGGGGCCCGCGUCCGAUUAGCUAGNGGUGGGGUAACGGCUCACCAAGGCGACGAUCGGUAGCCGGCCUAAGAGGGCGGACGGCCACACUGGGACUGAGACAC